GUGGGGAAUUUUGGACAAUGGGCGCAAGCCUGAUCCAGCAAUGCCGCGUGCAGGAAGAAGGCCUUCGGGUUGUAAACUGCUUUUGUACGGAACGAAACGGUCCUGGUUAAUACCUGGGGCUAAUGACGGUACCGUAAGAAUAAGCACCGGCUAACUACGUGCCAGCAGCCGCGGUAAUACGUAGGGUGCGAGCGUUAAUCGGAAUUACUGGGCGUAAAGCGUGCGCAGGCGGUGCUGUAAGACAGGCGUGAAAUCCCCGGGCUCAACCUGGGAAUUGCGCUUGUGACUGCAGUGCUGGAGUACGGCAGAGGGGGAUGGAAUUCCGCGUGUAGCAGUGAAAUGCGUAGAUAUGCGGAGGAACACCGAUGGCGAAGGCAGUCCCCUGGGCCUGUACUGACGCUCAUGCACGAAAGCGUGGGGUGCAAACAGGAUUAGAUACCCGAGUAGUCC
rnacentral:rRNA from 1 species